CUACUUCCAGCUCGGCAGCCAGCGUUUCGCUAAAAAAAAAAAGUCCCACCUCGGGAGAUUAGGCCACUGAUAACCAGCUUAUAAACCUAAGCCUUGGCACCCGUGGCACGACCUUACUUGAACAGGAUCUGUUCUAUAGGCUCGUACCGCUGCAUCCUUGACUAAUAAGGAGGCAAGCACUUAAGCUUGGUUGAUGACACAAGGCCUGUGGGCCAGAGCGUGAUUAACGGCCGGAUUUGCAGUAUCUAAUGCAUGAUCUAUGGCUGUAGAUGAUCGUUUCUGGUCAGCCUUAGCCUGGCUAGAGUGGCCCAUAGGUUGUCUGACAGGCUCUAUUUUUUUUACUUUUGAUUUCUACCCUUUUCAGUUUUGACUCCUGAUGUUUUUUUUUGAGGAAUUAUAUAAAUAUUAAACAAACUUCCUGAUGUUUUUUUUGAGGAAUUAUAUAAAUAUUAAACAAAGAGCACAGUACAGAAAUAAGGGUAAAUCUCCCCCAUUAAGUGUUAUUAAGUCCUGUAAGCAUCAGAGUGACUCUGGUUGUUGCAGAUAAAACUACAUGGUUGGGAGACCGACGGCAUGGUGUACUCCUGAAAUUUUAUUGAAGUCCAGAGCCUGUAAACAGUGCAGCUUCUCCAUGGUUGUUGCCAUCCUGGUAGUCGUGCAGAUUGUUAGAUGAUGUGUGUCCUAGUUUCUUGUCCCGGCGAUGUAGAUGUUGAUUUGUUCAGCUUAUUGUGUUCUGAUGCAGAAAACAUUGCAGAUUCUAAGUUCCCAGUAAUUCGAGUUUUGGUCUAGAGAUGAUGGACGUAAUUCGAGUUUGGAGCUGAGUGAUGGUGUAAAUUUUAAAAAAAAGUUGCACAUACUUUUUCUUUUUACUUUCAAACCAGAGUUCAGAACUUUGACAACCUCAAGCGUAAACCUGGCUUGCACAUCAGUACUGAACAGAUGAAUCAAGUUCAAAUUCAUCACACACUACGACCAAGAGCACCCUUCUGCAGCACUGAAAUAACAGUGCUUCAUCAGUACUUAGUUCAUACAAGCCGGCACAAGCGGCAAGCAUAAAACUGGCUCAGAACAUGAAAACUGUGGUGAAUGAUGGGCCAAGCGCAAAACCAUCAUACUCUAAUUAAAUCUCAGAGUAACACCAACAUAGUUCAACAUACCCAAUUUCCAACAGUUAAAAGUUGAUGUCUUACAUCGGAAACCAUUAACCAUCGCAGCAUAAAGAGAACAUACUGGGGAUAACCCAUAUAGGUUGCACCAUGCUGACACAACAUAUGCAAAUACGGACAUCAGGUUUGGUGGCAUCUCCAAGCAGCGGUGUGCUUUUGCCGAACUCAAACGCAACCCAACGGCCAGAAUCGUAGCAGUAUACACAGUUGCUCCUCCCUCCCCAUCUCUCAGGGUUCAUGCAUGAUAAUGGCUGGACCCCCUCGUCGUUGCUGAUGAAUAUCACCCAAUUCUCCAACUUCUCCACCUUCAUCCACUUUGCAGGUUCAGUUGAAGUGUCAAGACGAUAGGCUUCAAAGACAUCGCUUGUUCCUGGAUAAUAACUUUGGCAGCCGACCAUGAGAAGCAUGUCACCGCAAGCCACCAGCCACGGGGUGCUAAGAUGCCAUUUAGUCAUGCUAUUUUUCUCACCCCACGAAACUGGUAUUUUCUGUAACUGGAUCCGGGGCGUCAAGUGCACCAUGAACAGCCUACGAUCAGAAACCAUGCCAAAACCUGGCCUUUGAAGACUACAAAUUUGGCUAGUGUUCCAUUGCGAGGAGAGCGUUUCAACCAAGAGUUACUACCAACACGCCAAAAGAAGUUGGACGACCCAGUGGAGACAAUGAGAUGUGAGUUGGGAGAUGCUAGCGGAGCUGUGAGGGCAGCACUAUAGUAGAUCUCAUCAAUUGGCAGUGGUGGAGCUGAAACAUCAAUACCAGUGAACACAUCAAAAAGAAAACAGGAUCUGUUGCUGGAGAAUAUCAUAUGGCCAAAGGAAGCACCCCUAAAGGCAAACUCACCCAAAGCAUUUUGUGGGCAGCUACGUCCAUAACCAUAAUCGAUAUGAAGCACAGGAAUUUUUGAGAGCAAAGUGAUUUAUCUAGGCUGGCUAGAUCAGUGACAUAACAUGGCCGUUUGGGUAUAAAGAUGUUGCUGGCAACAUUUGGCAACGGGCGAGGGGAGCAGAAAGGACAUCAGGCUGGAGAAGAAGAGGUGGGAAGAGUGUGUACAAGGUAGAUUUGGAUGGGUAAGAAGAGAAGGCAGAGCUCCACGGGUGGCAGGUGGCUGCAAAUGCAAGGAGGUCGCGGAACGAGCCCAACAACGGAAUGAUGGAGUCCAGCAAGCCAUCUGGGAGAUCUGCCCAAUUUCGAAGCACUGUAAAAUGAGACAAGGUAAAAAAAGAUCCAACUUGAAAGGAAUUUAACUUGAAAGGAACUUACCUACAAACUUAUAGGUAAAACUUAACAGACUUAUAGGUAAAACUUAACAGAUAGUAAUGAAAGGAACGUAACACAAAGAACUGAUCCAAUUUAACUUGAAAUAAAUUGCUAAGCAUGGAUGGCAACAAACUUCAAAGGAAUUGAACUAGCACUAAAAAGAAAGGUUCAACGAACAGGACAUGUUACAGAAGUUAACAUUACUGUUCCAACACAAGUGCAAACAUUAUUUUCAAAACCCAUCACUACACAUCACUACAAUAAAACAAAGUCAUGGCACAAUCACUUCUUGUUGGUCAUGUCCCAGUAGAAUUGUAUCCAGCUCAUUCGGUCCUCUUUCAUUGUCAUCUCCAUCAACACCGACCGAUACUCCGCGCUCUUAGUACAUAAAUAUACAGCCUGGCAGUGAAGCGGAGACCCCUCCUGUAUACCAUCUUCUUUAAGGAGCUGCAUACAACGAACCAUUUGUUCAUUGGUACGGCAUGCACGUUGCAGGCUCCUCUUUGCCACACUCUCAGAUAGCUCCCUGAUGUACUGCUCCAAGUUGUCACUUCUUUUUUUGUAGGACUGUCCAUAGAGAAUUCCCGGGCCGACCGUUUGGACAUGGCACGAGCACUACUAGCAGGCGGGGGGUCCUGGUCCAAGUCCGCUGCACUGCCCUCAGUCCCCACGCUAGGUGUCGUCUCACGAAUACCUCCUGCCGUCAGCAAGGUGCCCCUGUCUUGAGGUUCAUGGCCAAACAACUCAAACAAUUCGUCGAGGAAAGGUGGAGGCUUAACAGAAGUCGGCUGGGAACUCGGCUGGGACCUCGGCGGGGCAUCACCACCAGUGGUGUCCUGCAAUGUUGAAGCAACAGUAAAUGAUCAAGGCCAAAAACAUAAAAGUACAAAUAAGAUGCCGAGUAACUUAGGGGCCUGUCAUAGGACGUACCUCUUCGUCCUCUUCCCAAUAGGUGGCAUCAACAGAAACACCACCAGUUUGUGUGUCGCGCCCUAAACCAGAUUGCUUUUGCAAGGCCAUCCAACUCAGGAAUGUUCUUCUCAGGUUGUUGAGCUUGUUCUGCAGCUGCUUGCUGCCCAAAUGCAACCCAGUUUGUGCCCUGAAGCUUGAGUACACGUUCUUCCAUCCCAACUUAGUGAGGCAUCUGUUGCUCCAAUUGAACUGGUUCUUCUGAGCAAUGCACAACCAGCAAAGUUUUCGUCGUUCCCUUAUCCCAGCUGGCACGGUUAUUCAUCUGAGUACACAGGAGCUGCAAUUAUAUUGCACCGAGCUACGGAUAACCAGGAGGCAUACAACUAAACAAUCUAAAAUUACUGGAUAUGUUAUUUGCCUUAGCAUGUGUCUUGGCGCGUUUGUGGCGAAAAUUGUACGGGCACACCGGUGGGAGAGAGCACGAUGAAGUCGAUGACGAUGCCAGUGUGGGCACCGUUGGUACUUCCUCGCGAUUGGCCUGCUAGUAGGCUUGUAUCAGUCGCCUGCAAAGGUGAGAAAACCAAAAACAGACUGUGAAAAAAAUCCAAAAGGUUGAAAAUACAAUCACGAGCACAAAAGAAAGAUUUGAGGUUUUGAUGUGCCAAUUUCAUCAUUUGAAUCAGUUAUCCUGAAUUAAAUUUGGACACUAGUUUCAUCUGAGAAUUAAAGUAAGAGUGAUAUGCAAUAAAAAUAAAGAAAUAAGCAUGCCAUGCUAGAAUGUUGCAGUAGCUAGUUUAACAUCUAACAUAGUCAAAACAUCUCAUUUUAUUCAUGCAACAAUACCAAGCAUAUGGUAUCAAGUAGCAACAAUAAGAAGAUUAAGUAAACGCUAAAUAGUUGACCAGCACUUCAUAUUAAGGAUGCCUUCUUUCAAUCAUUAUCACAGUCAUCAGUACAUCUGGUCUAAAGCACAAAUAAGGCAUCUUUGUACACCAAGUAAUUCCCAAUUUAAGUUGUAAUUAGCUUAACAAGAUAUGAGCAACCAUCUGGAAAUUCUGUUGCCAGUACAGAACUGACCCACGGCAUUAGAUCAAUCAAACUACCAACCAAACCGCAGUACCAUGGUUGACCCACCCUAAAUCUCCACGAAUCCGAUGGGGGAGCAGCAUUACCUGUGAGCGAAGGGGAGGGAGGGGGCGACGGACUGGGAGAAAUUCCUUGCACGCGACGGCCCACCGACGGCGGAGAACGGGCGCGACCGAGGGAGCGGGUGAGCGGAGGGAGCGGCGGCGGCGGAUCCGGAGCGACCGCGACCGACGGAGGGGGCGAGAUGCAGGAGCGACGGCGGCGUCGCGCGGCCGAGCGCGACGGAGCGGGCGACGCGAUGGCCGGCCGACGGCGGAGAGCGGGCACAAGCGAGGGAGCGGGUGAGCGGAGGGAGCGGCGGCGGCAGAUCCGGAGCGACCGCGAUCGACGGAGGGGGCGAGAUGCGGGAGCGACGGCGGCGUCACGCGACCAAGCGCGACGGAGCGGGCGACGCGACGGCCGGCCGGCGGCGGAGAGCGGGCGCAAGCGAGGGAGCGGGUGAGCGGAGGGAGCGGCAGCGGCGGAAAGGGAGCGAGAGAGAGCGACGGGCGUAUGUGGCGUCUGUGGAUGAGGACGGGAGGCGACAGGGAUUUGGGAGGAACGCGUCGGUGGAGCAGCCGCUCGAACGGCGUCGGUGAAGCGCUCCGAACGGCUGGGCUGAAAAGCCCAACCGGAAGAAGCCCAGCGCAGCAGCAGAAGCCCACCGAACGGGCUGAUAACUUGCAGGUGAAAGAAGCUUCUCUGUGACAAACCGUAAACCCAAAGCCAACAUUAGCAGCUUGAAGUGGAUACAAUGAACCAUACAAAUAAAGCUGACAAAUUUAUAAGAAAUAUAAAUGCCAGUUUUAAGCACAAGAAUGCAACAGAACAGAACAUGCACAAUAAUACUAGUCGCAAAACAAAACAGUGUGAUCUUGGUACGGUUGGAUUACAUGGAUUAUGCCUUGUUUGCUAAUAUAAUGCAGUAGUGCCUAUAAAUGUGUAAAGCCUUCUUGCAGUCUAAAGUCUUUUUAAGUACUGUCCCUCCAUAAUCUGAUCAGUAAUUUCAAAGAGACAAGCCAUCGCUAUCCUAUUAGUCUAUUACAGGAAAAUAAUUAAAACAUCACGUAGAUACAAUUUAUAAUGGAUAGACCGAUAGAAGCUAACACUAUUGUCUACUGGGGACAUAGCACCCACUGUAGAACCAUUCAAACAGUAAUAUGAUUGGCACAACUGAUUUAAUGGAUAAUCUUUUCAGCUCAGAUUAACUACCAUUUAUCCGCAGAAUAUCAACUUCAGUUGCCGUGACCUUAAUGAUUCAAGUCAGAACCAGAACGAAUCAAAUAAACCGAAUGGACUGGUUUCCGGGGGCAUCGAGCCCCACACAGAACUGCCGGCAAGCAUUGGGGAUCCGGACAAAAAC
rnacentral:lncRNA from 1 species